GAGUUUGAUCAUGGCUCAGAUUGAACGCUGGCGGCAGGCCUAACACAUGCAAGUCGAGCGGUAGCACAGAGAGCUUGCUCUCGGGUGACGAGCGGCGGACGGGUGAGUAAUGUCUGGGAAACUGCCUGAUGGAGGGGGAUAACUACUGGAAACGGUAGCUAAUACCGCAUAAUGUCGCAAGACCAAAGUGGGGGACCUUCGGGCCUCAUGCCAUCAGAUGUGCCCAGAUGGGAUUAGCUAGUAGGUGGGGUAACGGCUCACCUAGGCGACGAUCCCUAGCUGGUCUGAGAGGAUGACCAGCCACACUGGAACUGAGACACGGUCCAGACUCCUACGGGAGGCAGCAGUGGGGAAUAUUGCACAAUGGGCGCAAGCCUGAUGCAGCCAUGCCGCGUGUGUGAAGAAGGCCUUCGGGUUGUAAAGCACUUUCAGCGGGGAGGAAGGCGGUGAGGUUAAUAACCUC
rnacentral:rRNA from 1 species